rnacentral:rRNA from 1 species
GACGAACGCUGGCGGCGUGCUUAACACAUGCAAGUCGAACGAAGUGGCGAACGGGUGAGUAACGCGUAAUCAACCUGCCCUUCAGAGGGGGACAACAGUUGGAAACGACUGCUAAUACCGCAUACGGAAGGAGGGGAUUGCGUCUGAUUAGCUAGUUGGAGGGGUAACGGCCCACCAAGGCGAUGAUCAGUAGACCGUCUGAGUGGAAGAACGGCCACAAUGGGACUGAAUCGAGGCCGAGGGUCAUACCGGAGGCCGCCGAUGGGGAACGUCCGGAAAGGGCGAAAGGCAGAAGGUGCAACGGUGCGUAGGUGAUGAAGGCCUCCAGGUUGUAAAGCACUGUGGAUCAGGUCACGGUACCUGAAUAGUAAGGCACGGCUAACAACGUGCCAGCAGCCGCGGUAAUGC